rnacentral:rRNA from 1 species
GGAAUAUUGGACAAUGGGCGCAAGCCUGAUCCAGCCAUGCCGCGUGCAGGAUGACGGUCCUAUGGAUUGUAAACUGCUUUUGCACAGGAAGAAACAACGCUACGUGUAGCGUCUUGACGGUACUGUGAGAAUAAGGAUCGGCUAACUCCGUGCCAGCAGCCGCGGUAAUACGGAGGAUCCAAGCGUUAUCCGGAAUCAUUGGGUUUAAAGGGUCCGUAGGCGGUUUAGUAAGUCAGUGGUGAAAGCCCAUCGCUCAACGGUGGAACGGCCAUUGAUACUGCUAAACUUGAAUUAUUAGGAAGUAACUAGAAUAUGUAGUGUAGCGGUGAAAUGCUUAGAGAUUACAUGGAAUACCAAUUGCGAAGGCAGGUUACUACUAAUAUAUUGACGCUGAUGGACGAAAGCGUGGGUAGCGAACAGGAUUAGAUACCCCAG